GACGAACGCUGGCGGCGUGCUUAACACAUGCAAGUCGAACGGAAAGGCCCUGCUUUUGUGGGGUGCUCGAGUGGCGAACGGGUGAGUAACACGUGAGUAACCUGCCCUUGACUUUGGGAUAACUUCAGGAAACUGGGGCUAAUACCGGAUAGGAGCUCCUGCUGCAUGGUGGGGGUUGGAAAGUUUCGGCGGUUGGGGAUGGACUCGCGGCUUAUCAGCUUGUUGGUGGGGUAGUGGCUUACCAAGGCUUUGACGGGUAGCCGGCCUGAGAGGGUGACCGGCCACAUUGGGACUGAGAUACGGCCCAGACUCCGACGGGAGGCAGCAGUGGGGAAUAUUGCCCAAUGGGCGGAAGCCUGAUGCAGCAACGCCGCGUGCGGGAUGACGGCCUUCGGGUUGUAAACCGCUUUCGCCUGUGACGAAGCGUGAGUGACGGUAAUGGGUAAAGAAGCACCGGCUAACUACGUG
rnacentral:rRNA from 1 species